AUUGAACGCUGGCGGCAUGCCUUACACAUGCAAGUCGAACGGCAGCACGGGAGCAAUCCUGGUGGCGAGUGGCGGAACGGGUGAGUAAUAUAUCGGAACGUGCCCAGUCGUGGGGGAUAACGUAGACGAAAGCUACGCUAAUACCGCAUACGAUCUAUGGAUGAAAGCGGGGGAUCGCAAGACCUCGCGCGAUUGGAGCGGCCGAUAUCAGAUUAGGUAGUUGGUGAGGUAAAGGCUCACCAAGCCGACGAUCUGUAGCUGGUCUGAGAGGACGACCAGCCACACUGGGACUGAGACACGGCCCAGACUCCUACGGGAGGCAGCAGUGGGGAAUUUUGGACAAUGGGCGCAAGCCUGAUCCAGCAAUGCCGCGUGCAGGAUGAGGCUCGGGUUGUAAACUGCUUUUGUACGGAACGAAACGGUGAGCUCUAAUACAGUUUGCUAAUGACGGUACCGUAAGAAUAAGCACCGGCUAACUACGUG
rnacentral:rRNA from 1 species